GCCUGGCGUUUCCCUCCUGGGUCCGUUAGAAUCCCAGUUUUGCACGUUGUGUGUUAUACAACAUAUGCGAAUGGUGGCCCUUCCCUGCUAGACUACAAACUUCCAGAAACUUGGGACAGUGUCUGUGUUUGCUACCACUUUAUACCCAACACAUAGAACUCGACAUAUGGUCGUUGAUUGAAGAAAUGAAUGGCUACCAGAGAUGGCUUUUAUCUGAAUAAGUUAUUUUCCAAUAUGCUCUUAGGAAAGACUGUUAUGGCUCAAGCCCUCCUCAUGGGGAUGACUCUGUAGCCUUUUCCUGCGACCCUUCUCUUCCCCUCCAAGCUCAUCUCCACGCUACAGCCUGAGUGAUCCUGCUUAAGAAAGCCCCUCUCCAGUGGCUUCCCAUGCACUAGAAGAAAAUCUGGGCACUCUAUCCUGCCUCACAAAGCUCUUCCUGAGUUCUUUUAGCAUAAUCAUUUGAGAACUUGGAGCAGGACUGUGGUUGAUUUUUUACUCUGUACAAUAAUAAAAUACAAAGGUUUAUUUUGCUCGCAGGGUAAAGAUGGUUUUAUGAAGCUACACCUUUCCCUUGAAGAGUCUAUUGUUAUGUUAGACAGGCAGAAGGAAGCUGUAGACGUAGAAAGAAAAACAUGUAGACAUUUCUUUGACGUGAAAUUACUUGUGAGUUCCUGAAAGGACGGCUUUAUAGAAGAUCGGCAUUUAGACUAGAUCACCCAAGUAUAGCUCGUGACCAAAGAGAACGUGUGUUUAUGAAGGGCCAGAGGUAAGGGCUGAGGAUGGGAGGGCUGUACAGGUUGCUCAAAGAACUGCUAAGAACAAAACACUGCUUUGAGCUUGAGCUGAUACGUUGUGAAGAGUGAUCUCUGAACAGAGAAGCAGUCAUUGAGUUCUUACUGUAUAUGACAUAGGGAAAUUGAACCUAUGGGAGAGUGGAAGGGAAUGUGUCCAAAAGACGGAUCAGGUGCUUUCCUGAAGGCAUUCAUAAUUAAGGAGAGAUAAAACAUAUGUGCACCAUAAGCAGUAUGACAACAACUAUAGAGAAGGGAGACUAGAAAUACAGGACACCUGGCGUGUGUGUGCUGAGGGGUGAAGACAGAUGGAGAGGGAUGACAGGCUCCUGGGGAAAGAUUCUCAGGAGAGGUGAAUUCCGAGCUGGGAUGUAAGUGAUUUAGAUCGUUGUCAACGAAAAUGAGGUCAUCUGAGGAGGAGGCAACGGCUUGAGCAAAGAUGGUGAGAAGGAUCCUAAUGAGGUGCAUAAAGGAGAAAGCUCAGAAGGACAGAAGCUGAGGGGCUAUGGAAGGAAAGUUGGCAAGGAAAGCUAUGCUUCCUUAAACUACUGUCGAAUAUCUAGAUAAGGAUGAGCAUUCUGAAAACACAUAGAAAUGUACAAGAAAUGUACUGGUGCUUAGAAAUAAACAAGCCAAUUUC